UACGUAGGGGGCGAGCGUUGUCCGGAUUUACUGGGCGUAAAGCGCACGCAGGCGGUCUGCUAAGUUUGGAGUGACAGUUGGUGGCUUAACUGCCAAAGUGCUUCGAAAACUGACAGACUUGAGGGCUUCAGAGGGACACGGAAUUCCGGGUGGAGUGGUGAAAUGCGUAGAGAUCCGGAGGAACACCAAAGGCGAAGGCAGUGUCCUGGGGAGUACCUGACGCUCAGGUGCGAAAGCCAGGGGAGCGAACAGG
rnacentral:rRNA from 1 species